GCAGGUGCACAGCGACGAUGAUUCGAGGCGCUGCUUGGUGCGUCGCUGUACUGUGGAUGGUCUCUCUUCACCUCGCAGGAUGUCUAGAGCUGCAGACACCUCUCGGGACCCUCAGAUCAGAUGCGAAUCUAGUGGUCUCGGUGCCGGCGGGCCAGGCGACGGCGCUGUCUCAGCACCACCUGCAGCUGGUUGCCGCCGG